CGGAGGGUGCAAGCGUUAUCCGGAUUCACUGGGUUUAAAGGGUGCGUAGGUGGGCAGGUAAGUCAGUGGUGAAAUCUCCGGGCUUAACCCGGAAACUGCCCAUUGAUACUAUCUGUCUUGAAUACCCUGGAGGUGAGCGGAAUAUGUCAUGUAGCGGUGAAAUGCUUAGAUAUGACAUAGAACACCCAUUGCGAAGGCAGCUCACUACGGGAAUAUUGACACUGAGGCACGAAAGCGUGGGGAUCAAACAGGAUUAGAUACCCUGGUAGUCCACGCCCUAAACUAUGGAUACUCGACAUCAGCGAUAAACUGUUGGUGUCUGAGCGAAAGCAUUAAGUAUCCCACCUGGGAAGUACGAUCGCAAGAUUG
rnacentral:rRNA from 1 species